CAGAAAGGUUACAUUCAUUCGUUCCUAGUCAUUUUGUCUCAACGACGCUGAAACAUCUGUAUUGACCCCCAAUGCAUCGCACCAACGUCAUAAACACAACUAAACUACCCUAGCAACUUUAGUUAGUAAGAAAGUAAAAUAAAAAAACAAAUAUGUAUAUCAAUCAAAUGGUCACCUUCUUCUGCGACUCCUUGGCCUCGCGGGCCUGCUGCUGCUUGAGUGCCUGCUGCUGGUUCUGUGCUGCCUGCUUCUGCUGGUUCUGGGCCGGCUGCGGCUGUUGCUGCUGUGCUUGAUUGCUGUUCUGUUUGGCACGGCGCUCCAGGAACUGCCUGGCAAACUCCUUGGCCUCGGGGGUGUCGCCCAGGUAGGCCCGCACAUAGUCGUGCACCUCGUACGUGGAGUCUACCUCCUUCAGGAAGGACGCGAACGUGGGGACUGGCGGAGGGAGAGGAGAGGAGAGGUUAGCUGGGGUGUUGUUUCGGACAAAGCUAGGGUAACACCGCGCACAAGGUUCCUCUUACACUUUAACUUAGCCCUGCACCCUCACUUUUCUACUGAAGCCAUCAGAAGAAAAUAUUUGAACUAGACCGUUUAUAAAAAAAAAAAAAAAAAAAAAAAAAGAAAGCCUUUUUUUUUUUUUUACAUUUUUUAAGUUUUGCUCUGAUCCAACACUUCGAAAAUAUCAGACCUUAAAAUGAAACAGCUACCACUGUAGCUCCGACUUAAGCCACUAAAGGCUGCUGCUGGCAAAACACACAAAAGGAAAGUUUAACAGUAGAGGCAAUUCCGCACACAACUCUCAAAACACAACCGCCAUUUUGAAGUUCCUUCGCCGAGCAGGGCACACGUUACGAAAACAUCAACGCUGUCAAGUGAAACAACCCGGGUUGGGACGUAUUCCCCGCCCCCCCUCCCCCCCGCACCGUGCGCUCACCGUCGAGGUUGUUGGCCGUGUUGAGCGUGUGCAGGCUCUGCUCGCACCACUGCGUGAAGCCCUGCUGCUGUUGCUGCUGCUGCUGCAGCCGCCGCAGCGCCUCCUGCUGCUGCUGCCGCUGCCUCAGCAGCUCCUGCUGCUUCAGCGCCUCCUGCUGCUUCAGCGCCUCCUGCUGCUUCAGCGCCUCCUGCUGCUGCUGCUGCUUCAGGGCCUCCUGCUGCCGCUGCGCCUCCUGCUCCCUCUUCUUCAGCUCCUCCUGCUGCUGCUGCAGCUGCAGCCGCACCAGGCCGGCCCGCAUGGCCUCCUCCAGCCGCUUCCUGUCCUCCUCCUCGCGUUUGGCCCGGAGCUCCGCCUCGCGCCG
ensembl:lncRNA